rnacentral:rRNA from 1 species
GAUGAACGCUGGCGGCGUGCCUAACACAUGCAAGUCGAGCGAGAAAGUCCCUUCGGGGGCGAGUAAAGCGGCGGACGGGUGAGUAAUACAUGGAUAAUCUUCCCUCGAGCCUGGGAUAACCCUGCGAAAGUGGGGCUAAUACCGGAUAAGACCACAUGACACAUGUCACGGGGUAGAAGGUGGCUUGUAUUUAUAUGAGCUAUCACUUGAGGAUGAGUCCAUGGCCUAUCAGCUAGUUGGUGAGGUAAGAGCUUACCAAGGCUAUGACGGGUAGCUGGUCUGAGAGGACGACUAGCCACACUGGGACUGAGACACGGCCCAGACUCCUACGGGAGGCAGCAGUGGGGAAUUUUGGACAAUGGGCGCAAGCCUGAUCCAGCCAUUCCGCGUGCAGGACGAAGGCCUUCGGGUUGUAACUGCUUUUGUACGGAACGAAAGCCCUUCUCUAAUACAGAGGGUCAUGACGGUACCGUAAGAAUAAGACACCGGCUAAC